CUCGGGUGACGAGCGGCGGACGGGUGAGUAAUGUCUGGGAAACUGCCUGAUGGAGGGGGAUAACUACUGGAAACGGUAGCUAAUACCGCAUAACGUCGCAAGACCAAAGAGGGGGACCUUCGGGCCUCUUGCCAUCAGAUGUGCCCAGAUGGGAUUAGCUAGUAGGUGGGGUAACGGCUCACCUAGGCGACAAUCCCUAGCUGGUCUGAGAGGAUGACCAGCCACACUGGAACUGAGACACGGUCCAGACUCCUACGGGAGGCAGCAGUGGGGAAUAUUGCACAAUGGGCGCAAGCCUGAUGCAGCCAUGCCGCGUGUAUGAAGAAGGCCUUCGGGUUGUAAAGUACUUUCAGCGGGGAGGAAGGUGUUGAGGUUAAUAACCUCAGCAAUUGACGUUACCCGCAGAAAAAGCACCGGCUAACUCCGUGCCAGCAGCCGCGGUAAUACGGAGGGUGCAAGCGUUAAUCGGAAUUACUGGGCGUAAAGCGCACGCAGGCGGUCUGUCAAGUCGGAUGUGAAAUCCCCGGGCUCAACCUGGGAACUGCAUUCGA
rnacentral:rRNA from 1 species